rnacentral:sRNA from 1 species
GCUUGUGUAUGAGCGCAGCGGCGGACCUGUGAGGGAACCCGACUUGCUGGCAGAACUUACGCUGCGGCACCCCGGGCACUGUUGCUGCUGCGGUAGGGAGAAGGCUGAGCAGACCAUCUGGAACCGUUUACAUCAGCUUAAAGCCUUGAAGACAAGGCGGCCCCGCUCCCGGGUUCCUCUGAGGAUUGGAAUUCUAGGCUGCAUGGCUGAGAGGUUGAAGGAGGAGAUUCUCAACAGAGAGAAAAUGGUAGAUAUUUUGGCUGGUCCUGAUGCCUACCGGGACCUUCCCCGGCUGCUGGCUGUUGCUGAGUCGGGCCAGCAAGCUGCCAACGUGCUGCUCUCUCUGGACGAGACCUAUGCUGAUGUCAUGCCAGUCCAGACAAGCGCCAGUGCCACGUCUGCCUUUGUGUCGAUCAUGCGAGGCUGUGACAACAUGUGUAGCUACUGCAUUGUUCCUUUCACCCGGGGCAGGGAGAGGAGUCGGCCUAUUGCCUCCAUUCUAGAGGAAGUGAAGAAGCUUUCUGAGCAGGGGCUGAAAGAAGUCACACUUCUUGGUCAGAAUGUUAAUAGUUUUCGGGACAAUUCAGAGGUCCAGUUCAACAAUGCAGUGCCUACCAAUCUCAGCCGUGGCUUUACCACCAACUAUAAAACCAAGCAAGGAGGACUUCGUUUUGCUCAUCUUCUGGAUCAGGUCUCCAGAGUAGAUCC